AUUGAACGCUGGCGGCAGGCCUAACACAUGCAAGUCGAACGCGUGGCGGACGGGUGAGUAAUGUCUGGGAAACUGCCCGCUGGAGGGGGAUAACUCCUGGAAACGGUAGCUAAUACCGCAUACCAUCUGAUGUGCCCAGAUGGGAGUAGCUUGUAGGUGAGGUAACGGCUCACCUAGGCGACGAUCCCUAGCUGGGCUGGGAGGAUGACCAGCCAAACGGGAACUGGGACAAGGUCCAGACUCCUACGGGAGGCAGGAGGGGGGAAUAUUGCACAAUGGGCGCAAGCCUGAUGCAGGCCUGCCGCGUGUAUGAAGAAGGCCUUCGGGUUGUAAAGUACUUUCAGCGGGGAGGCGGUACCCGCAGAAGAAGCACCGGCUAACUCCGUGCCAGCAGCCGCGGUAAUAC
rnacentral:rRNA from 1 species